AGUGAACGCUGGCGGUAGGCCUAACACAUGCAAGUCGAACGGCCUCUCCGUAAUUGCUUGCUCUUACGGGUGUCGAGUGUCGGACGGGUGAUUAAUACAUCGGAAUCUACUUUUUCGUUGGGGAUAACGUAGGGAAACUUCCGCUCAUACCGCAUACGACCUACUUGUGUAAGCAGGGGAUCUUCUUACCUUUCGCGAUUGAAUGCUCCGAUGUCGGCUUAGCUAGUUGGCGGGUUAAAGGCCCACCUAGGCGACGAUCCGUAUCUGGUGUGAGAGGAUGAUCAGGCACACUGGAAGUGAGAAAGGGUAGAGACACCGAGGGGAGGAAGCAGUGGGGAAUAUUGGGCAAAGGGGGAAAGCGUGAUCCAGCCAAACCGCGGGGGUGAAGAAGGACUUAGGGUGGGAAAGCCAUUAUGUUGGGAAAGAAAAGAAGCAGGUUAAUAGGCCGCGGUUAUGACGGUACCCAAAGAAGAAGCACCGGCUAACUUCGUG
rnacentral:rRNA from 1 species